rnacentral:misc_RNA from 1 species
GAUGAAGAACGCAGCGAAAUGCGAUAAGUAAUGUGAAUUGCAGAAUUCAGUGAAUCAUCGAAUCUUUGAACGCACAUUGCGCCCCCUGGUAUUCCGGGGGGCAUGCCUGUUCGAGCGUCAUUACAACCCUCAAGCUCUGCUUGGUGUUGGGCCCCGCCGCCCCGGCGGGCCCUAAAAUCAGUGGCGGUGCCGUCCGGCUCCGAGCGUAGUAAUUCUUCUCGCUCUGGAGGUCCGGGUGUGUGCUCGCCAGCAACCCCCAAUUUUUUUCAGGUUGACCUCGGAUCAGGUAGGGAUACCCGCUGAACUUAAGCAUAUCAAUAGCGGAGGA